UUGUAGCUGUGGAUGUGGUUUCUGUAGUGAUGGGACCGAGUGCGGAGAUCUAUUGGCUGCUGGCUUUGUAAAUUUCAUUCAGUUUGGUCCAAUAGCAGAGGGGGAUCGGGGAGACAUCGGGAGCUCUCGCUUCAAUCUCCCUUUUCCUUGCAGACCCGUCUGUGUCUCUCAGCACAGAGCUCUUAUUCAGACCUCGCCGUGCCCUUCCUGCUCCCACUGUCUUGCUUUCUCUUCCUGACUAUUUUAGGGCACAAACAACGAAUUUCCUCCAAGCGGCCGGCCUCGGUGGUCCCCGCAUUCCUUUGGAUGAGCACAUCUAGUUGGGAUUUGGACAAAGCCCAGGCUCCUGGACUCGCACACAGCCUCCUGAAUCCUACCCGCGGUCAGGAUUCCCUAGAAAAAUCUGGAUGUGUGAAAAAGAACACUCAGAGCCGAUGCAGAUUUUUCCACGGCUAAAGGUAGGUGCCGUUUUCAGAUGUGUCUCUGGGUUAUUUGUUUAUUUGCAAAGCCUUUGAAACAUUUGGACCUGUGUGUGCUUCCCCAGCAAAAGAGGAUGCUAAGCCUCCUGGAAAACACUCGAGCUGCGUUCCCCUCUGACAUUUUUUUUUUAUUAUUAUUAUUGUAUUUUAUUUUGAGAAUUCGGACAGGACUUUCUGCCAUCUGCCGCUCCAUUUCCUUAUAGGUGUGGGUGGGACUGGGGACAUGUAUGUGCGGCGUGUCCUGUGCAAGCUUCAUGCACAUUUCCACAGAAACAUUUGCUUUUUUUUUUUUCCCUGUUGACUUAAAAAAAAAAAUUGGGACCACCGUGGUUUGAACGAAUUUUGCUGCAAUCAGCUAUUUGAACGGCGCUGGGGCCGUGUGUGAUGUGUUUACAAAGUAGCGUUGUCUUACAUACAAAUAAACACAAGAGUGUGGCGAGGACAGGAGGGGAAAAAAAUAUAUCUGCAGUAGAGGCUGAGCAGGAGCAAAGCGUCAGCUCCCUGCAAACCGGGACCGGAGAUGAAGACAGGAAUACUUCUGGAGACUGAGCAACCGCGAGCUUUUUUUUUUUUUUUUUUUCCUCCUUCUUUAAGGAAACUGUCAGCUACCACCCCCCUGGGGUGCUUUUUUUGGGUUAACCAGAGAGAAAAAAGGAAAACAGGCUUGGCUGGGGUUGCAUUAAACGGGUUUUUUUGUUGUUGUUGCUUUUGGUUUUUUUUUUUUUUCCUCCUUCCUCUCUGCUGGUCUCGUAGAACAUGACGGCUGUUGUGAUGCACGAAAUAACGCACGUGAUUGAUUAGGACCUGGCUGGGCUUUGCUGGGGAGCGACCCGGGCGCGCCGGAGACCCCGGCUGGACACUCCAAUGACGGUAGCUUCGAGCUGUUUCUGCAAAGCUGGGGAGCGGGCUCCGUGCCCCCCUUCUCCCGUAUUUUUUUGACCUACUACGCGGGGUGAAUUGGAAUGGCUUUGAAGAUCUUCAUGAACCCCCAAAUCUUCAGUUGUAAAGAUGAGAGUACAUGGAGAGGCCUCCUUGAAACAUUAUCCUAGUGUGGAAUGAAUCCUUCUUCUGUCCGGACCUGAUAUUCCUCAGAAGGGAAAAAUGUGUUGAGAUGGAAAAGACAUCAAGUAUAUGUCCGUGGCGGCAUUUUUAAAGGCAUCUUCUUAGAAGGACACCGUAAUGGUAAGUAUCAAAAAUAAUCAUUGGCCUCUGCUGGCAUGUGUUAUUGAUUUGCAGCCUGGUUGAAUCCAAUCUAGCAAUCGUUCCUGACAACUUUGGUGGUAAGAUUAGCUUUCUUUUUUAAAAUCUAUUCGAAGUGAACCAAAGUGCAAAGCAGUGAUUUCAAGCUUAUUUGGAGUACAUACAAUGGCCUGUGUUGGAAAUUUAGAGUUUUGUAAUAAUUGCUUAUUCAUACAAAGAGCCACAGUGCCGAGUGUAUCUCAUAAAUUAGGUAUCCACAGGAGAGGCUCAACUUUCUGAUGCACCUCACGUAAGCCGAUCCAAAAUUUACCCUCAAGUCCAUUGGUCACUGAAAGCCCACUGUGAGCUUCUCAAGUGGGCUAGAGUGAGCAUCUCAAGGUACGGAGGCACUUGAAUGGCAGUGCCCCUGCAGAAUGGGAUCCAAAAUGUCAGACGUGUGGUUCUAAUGUACAGUGGGGGCCCGCUGAGGCCACAGGAUCUUUCUCUCUAUCUGGAGAAUAUAAGUAGAGCAGAUCCCAAGGAAGGGGAAAUGGGUAGAAUACUGUUAUGAUUUGUGGUUGAACUUGUUAAGUAAAUCAUGUCACACUUCAGAGUCUGGACCUGUCUGCUGCACCCCCCCCCCCCAAUCCCCUGCCAUACUUAAUUUUGAGAAAGGAUGUGUUUGAAUAUGUUUUGAGUAAAUGCUUAUGUCUUUUCAUGGCUCAGCUGUCCAUUCAAGCCCUGAUAAGGUAGUAUUUGUGAUUAUAUUGCUCAAAUAUUCGUUAUCUACCAUUUUUCUUGUCAGUUUGAGUGCCACAGCAUCCAAACGUUUCUCACAGUUUGGACCACAAAUGGCUUUAAGCUUCUCUCUACAGCUGACCACAUAAUUUCCAUAUCUUUACUCUUUCGGUAACAAACUUCUGUAGGAUUCCUGGAUUCUACACGAUUGUCAAGGUCAUGUUUUGUAUGAGAUUCUUGUUCCCAACAAACUUGAUUUCCAAAUUCCUCCCCCAUUUCCAGCCAUGAAGAAAUGCUAGGUUGUUUUUUUUUCCAAAGAUAAGUUUGGAAACUUUGUUUUUUCCAAACUUUGUUUUUUCCAAAGAUAAGUUUGAUUAGUAAAGACUAAAGCUGUCCCCCUUUUGUUAUGAACAUGCAGAUUUGGAAGAUGAUUAUAGAUGAGAAAAUGAUUGCUAUUUUUAUCUUGUAUAGGUUAUUUUACCAAAGGUAUUCGACACACACAUGUUUCUCAUCAGCGCAUAUAGCUCAAUAAUCAUUAACAGCACAUUAUGUAAAUUCCUUUUUCAUUUUUAUUUCCUUUUUCCAAUCUGGACGAGCAUUGCUUUCUAACCAGGGCAUGAAGUCUCGGAACUAUCUGUCUUCCUUCUCACACGAAAAGAUUUUGGAACAGGAACCCGAUGCAGCUUGGUGGUAAUCAUUUCGGUUAGCCGCUGUGCAGGAAGCACUCUGUUUAAUAUAAUCAGGCCGUCCUGGUUCCAGGGAGAAGCAAUGGUAAUAGGUCUGUCAUCAGCCUCCGAGCUGUAGACAAGUCACAGCUCAUAAUGUGACAGCUCCCAUAAUGAAACCCAAAGGGAACAUUAUAUAAAGUGCACAAUCAGGAGAGGAGAAUGAGGACUUCUGAGUCUAGGAACACUUAUUAUUUUUUUGGCCGUAUGCACUUCACCUCAAUCUGCAUUUGAAAGCACCAGGUAUUAUCGACAUGUUUGUCCAAGAGGCUGUCUAAACUGCCUCUCUGAGCCGG